GAUGAACGCUGGCGGCGUGCCUAAUACAUGCAAGUCGAGCGAACAGACGAGGAGCUUGCUCCUCUGACGUUAGCGGCGGACGGGUGAGUAACACGUGGAUAACCUACCUAUAAGACUGGGAUAACUUCGGGAAACCGGAGCUAAUACCGGAUAAUAUAUUGAACCGCAUGGUUCAAUAGUGAAAGACGGUUUUGCUGUCACUUAUAGAUGGAUCCGCGCCGCAUUAGCUAGUUGGGAAGGUAACGGCUUACCAAGGCAACGAUGCGUAGCCGACCUGAGAGGGUGAUCGGCCACACUGGAACUGAGACACGGUCCAGACUCCUACGGGAGGCAGCAGUAGGGAAUCUUCCGCAAUGGGCGAAAGCCUGACGGAGCAACGCCGCGUGAGUGAUGAAGGUCUUCGGAUCGUAAAACUCUGUUAUGAGGGAAGAACAAAUGUGUAAGUAACUAUGCACGUCUUGACGGUACCUAAUCAGAAAGCCACGGCUAACUACGUG
rnacentral:rRNA from 1 species